rnacentral:rRNA from 1 species
GACGAACGCUGGCGGCGUGCCUAAUACAUGCAAGUCGAGCGGAAUGAUGAAGAAGCUUGCUUCUUCUGAUUUUAGCGGCGGACGGGUGAGUAACACGUGGGCAACCUACCUUGUAGAUUGGGAUAACUCCGGGAAACCGGGGCUAAUACCGAAUAAUCCAUUUUGCUUCAUGGCGAGAUGUUGAAAGACGGUUUCGGCUGUCACUAUAAGAUGGGCCCGCGGCGCAUUAGCUAGUUGGUAGGGUAAUGGCCUACCAAGGCGACGAUGCGUAGCCGACCUGAGAGGGUGAUCGGCCACACUGGGACUGAGACACGGCCCAGACUCCUACGGGAGGCAGCAGUAGGGAAUCUUCCGCAAUGGACGAAAGUCUGACGGAGCAACGCCGCGUGAGUGAAGAAGGUUUUCGGAUCGUAAAACUCUGUUGUAAGGGAAGAACACGUACGAGAGUAACUGCUCGUACCUUGACGGUACCUUAUUAGAAAGCCACGGCUAACUACGUG